AUGAAACCAUUUACUAAAAUGACACAAUCCUUAACAUAUCUUAUACCAUUUACUAAAAAAAUCAAAAUUUGUCUGAGAUAUUACCUCAGUUUUGGAAAAGCUACAAACUUUAUCUUAAGGAGGCAAGUUAAAGUUGGUAUCACCUUGAAAACAAACCAGCUAUAUAUUGAUCCAGAAAAUCAAUUAUUUGAAUGA